rnacentral:rRNA from 1 species
AGACGUCUACAUUAGAUACCCGCGUAGUCCCAGCCGUAAACUAUGCGCGUUAGGUGUAUCGGUGACCACGAGUUACCGAGGUGCCGAAGGGAAACCGUGAAACGUGCCGCCUGGGAGGUACGGUCGCAAGGCUGAAACUUAAAGGAAUUGGCGGGGAGCACCACAACGGGUGGAGCCUGCGGUUUAAUUGGACUCAACGCCGGGAAGCUCACCGGAUAGGACAGCAGAAUGAUUGCCGGGCUGAAGACCCUGCAUGACUAGCUG